AUUGCCCUAGUAACGGCGAGUGAAGCGGCAUCAGCUCAAAUUUGAAAUCUGGCUCUUUCAGAGUCCGAGUUGUAAUUUGCAGAGGGCGCUUUGGCGUUGGCAGCGGUCUAAGUUCCCUGGAACAGGACGUCACAGAGGGUGAGAAUCCCGUAUGUGGUCGCUGGCCUUCGCCGUGUAAAGCCCCUUCGACGAGUCGAGUUGUUUGGGAAUGCAGCUCUAAAUGGGAGGUAAAUUUCUUCUAAAGCUAAAUACUGGCCAGAGACCGAUAGCGCACAAGUAGAGUGAUCGAAAGAUGAAAAGCACUUUGGAAAGAGAGUCAAAUAGCACGUGAAAUUGUUGAAAGGGAAGCGCUUGCAGCCAGACUUGCCUGUAGUUGCUCAUCCGGGCUUUUGCCCGGUGCACUCUUCUGCGGGCAGGCCAGCAUCAGUUUGGGCGGUUGGAUAAAGGUCUCUGUCAUGUACCUCCUUUCGGGGAGGCCUUAUAGGGGAGACGACAUGCAACCAGCCUGGACUGAGGUCCGCGCAUCUGCUAGGAUGCUGGCGUAAUGGCUGUAAGCGGCCCGUCUUGAAACACGGACCAAGGAGUCUAACAUCUAUGCGAGUGUUUGGGUGUCAAGCCCGAGCGCGUAAUGAAAGUGAACGGAGGUGGGAUCCCUUAAGGGUGCACCAUCGACCGAUCCUGAUGUCUUCGGAUGGAUUUGAGUAAGAGCAUGGCUGUUGGGACCCGAAAGAUGGUGAACUAUGCUUGAAUAGGGUGAAGCCAGAGGAAACUCUGGUGGAGGCUCGCAGCGGUUCUGACGUGCAAAUCGAUCGUCAAAUUUGGGCAUAGGGGCGAAAGACUAAUCGAACUAUCUAGUAGCUGGUUCCUGCCGAAGUUUCCCUCAGGAUAGCAGUAACGUAUUCAGUUUUAUGAGGUAAAGCGAA
rnacentral:rRNA from 1 species